rnacentral:rRNA from 1 species
UGUGUGUUAGUGGAAGCGUCUGGAAAGGCGCGCGAUACAGGGUGACAGCCCCGUACACAAAAAUGCACAUGCUGUGAGCUCGAUGAGUAGGGCGGGACACGUGGUAUCCUGUCUGAAUAUGGGGGGACCAUCCUCCAAGGCUAAAUACUCCUGACUGACCGAUAGUGAACCAGUACCGUGAGGGAAAGGCGAAAAGAACCCCGGCGAGGGGAGUGAAAAAGAACCUGAAACCGUGUACGUACAAGCAGUGGGAGCACGCUUAGGCGUGUGACUGCGUACCUUUUGUAUAAUGGGUCAGCGACUUAUAUUCUGUAGCAAGGUUAACCGAAUAGGGGAGCCGAAGGGAAACCGAGUCUUAACUGGGCGUUAAGUUGCAGGGUAUAGACCCGAAACCCGGUGAUCUAGCCAUGGGCAGGUUGAAGGUUGGGUAACACUAACUGGAGGACCGAACCGACUAAUGUUGAAAAAUUAGCGGAUGACUUGUGGCUGGGGGUGAAAGGCCAAUCAAACCGGGAGAUAGCUGGUUCUCCCCGAAAGCUAUUUAGGUAGCGCCUCGUGAAUUCAUCUCCGGGGGUAGAGCACUGUUUCGGCAAGGGGGUCAUCCCGACUUACCAACCCGAUGCAAACUGCGAAUACCGGAGAAUGUUAUCACGGGAGACACACGGCGGGUGCUAACGUCCGUCGUGAAGAGGGAAACAACCCAGACCGCCAGCUAAGGUCCCAAAGUCAUGGUUAAGUGGGAAACGAUGUGGGAAGGCCCAGACAGCCAGGAUGUUGGCUUAGAAGCAGCCAUCAUUUAAAGAAAGCGUAAUAGCUCACUGGUCGAGUCGGCCUGCGCGGAAGAUGUAACGGGGCUAAACCAUGCACCGAAGCUGCGGCAGCGACGCUUAUGCGUUGUUGGGUAGGGGAGCGUUCUGUAAGCCUGUGAAGGUGUACUGUGAGGUAUGCUGGAGGUAUCAGAAGUGCGAAUGCUGACAUAAGUAACGAUAAAGCGGGUGAAAAGCCCGCUCGCCGGAAGACCAAGGGUUCCUGUCCAACGUUAAUCGGGGCAGGGUGAGUCGACCCCUAAGGCGAGGCCGAAAGGCGUAGUCGAUGGGAAACAGGUUAAUAUUCCUGUACUUGGUGUUACUGCGAAGGGGGGACGGAGAAGGCUAUGUUGGCCGGGCGACGGUUGUCCCGGUUUAAGCGUGUAGGCUGGUUUUCCAGGCAAAUCCGGAAAAUCAAGGCUGAGGCGUGAUGACGAGGCACUACGGUGCUGAAGCAACAAAUGCCCUGCUUCCAGGAAAAGCCUCUAAGCAUCAGGUAACAUCAAAUCGUACCCCAAACCGACAC